AUGAACAAGUAUCACAUGCCUUUGGGGUUUUUUGUCGGUGUGAAUAAUCAUCUGCAAUCUACAAUUUUUGGAGUUGCCUUGGUGGGGAGUGAGAGUAGCGACUCAUUUGAAUGGAAUCAAUGCCCUGCCAUGAAAGCAGCUAUACCUAAGAUCUUUCUCAGAACUCAUCACCGCCUCUGCCGAUGGCACAUUAUAAAAAAAUUAAAAGAUCAUUUGUCAAAAUUAUACUUAGAACAUGACACAUUUAAGGAAGACCUCGCAGCAGUCCUUAACCAUCCACUCAUGCCAACAGAGUUUGAAGCAGCAUGGCACGACCUCAUGGACACGUACAACUUACAGAAUGACACCAUCCUAUUGGGCCUAUGGGAAGAGAGAACAACAUGGAUAUCUGCAUACUGGAAGGAGAUAUUCUGUGCCAGAAUGACGUCAACACAAAGAAGUGAAAGCAUGAAUCAUAUCCUGAAAAAAGGUUUCGUGAAAGAAACACAAGAGCUUCACAUAUUUGCCAGACAAGUUAAUGAAUGCAUACAGAAGAGGCACCAGCUUGAGGUUGCCGAGACAAUAGCUUCAACGGGUGCCAGGAAACCUCUCACUAGGUACCUUUUUGAGAAACAGCUGAUGGACGUGUACACACGCGCUGUCUACAACUUAUUCCAUGAAAGACUCUUUGAAAGCGGCGCCUUCGGAAUCAAACAAUCUACUGAGCAUCCAACGAAGUACUAUCUACACCACUACAACCAGGAGAAAAAAUCCGCAUGGUUAAGGCACAUAUUCCUGCUCUAUCAGGAUACAGUGCGCAAAAUGGGGAUUGACCCCUCAAGGAUCAAGCCCACAAAAAUCACUUUCAAGGGUGUCAUACCCGGUGUAGAGGCCUGA
rnacentral:rRNA from 1 species